AUUGAACGCUGGCGGCAGGCUUAACACAUGCAAGUCGAGCGGGGGAAGGUAGCUUGCUACCGGACCUAGCGGCGGACGGGUGAGUAAUGCUUAGGAAUCUGCCUAUUAGUGGGGGACAACAUCUCGAAAGGGAUGCUAAUACCGCAUACGUCCUACGGGAGAAAGCAGGGGAUCACUUGUGACCUUGCGCUAAUAGAUGAGCCUAAGUCGGAUUAGCUAGUUGGUGGGGUAAAGGCCUACCAAGGCGACGAUCUGUAGCGGGUCUGAGAGGAUGAGCCGCCACACUGGGACUGAGACACGGCCCAGACUCCUACGGGAGGCAGCAGUGGGGAAUAUUGGACAAUGGGGGGAACCCUGAUCCAGCCAUGCCGCGUGUGUGAAGAAGGCCUUAUGGUUGUAAAGCACUUUAAGCGAGGAGGAGGCUACUCUAGUUAAUACCUAGGGAUAGUGGACGUUACUCGCAGAAUAAGCACCGGCUAACUCUGUGCCAGCCGCCGCAGUAA
rnacentral:rRNA from 1 species